AGCGAACGCUGGCGGCAGGCCUAACACAUGCAAGUCGAACGAGCUCUUCGGAGUUAGUGGCGGACGGGUGAGUAACACGUGGGAACGUGCCUUUAGGUUCGGAAUAACUCAGGGAAACUUGUGCUAAUACCGAAUGUGCCCUUCGGGGGAAAGAUUUAUCGCCUUUAGAGCGGCCCGCGUCUGAUUAGCUAGUUGGUGAGGUAAAGGCUCACCAAGGCGACGAUCAGUAGCUGGUCUGAGAGGAUGAUCAGCCACAUUGGGACUGAGACACGGCCCAAACUCCUACGGGAGGCAGCAGUGGGGAAUCUUGCGCAAUGGGCGAAAGCCUGACGCAGCCAUGCCGCGUGAAUGAUGAAGGUCUUAGGAUUGUAAAAUUCUUUCACCGGGGACGAUAACGACGGUACCCGGAGAAGAAGCCCCGGCUAACUUCGUGCCAGCAGCCGCAGUAA
rnacentral:rRNA from 1 species